GAGCAAACCAGUAAGCAGCAACCCCCUCCACGGCCACUACAUCAGCUUCUGCCUCCAGGUUCCUGCUCGGUUUGAGUGCUUAUCCUGUGUGGAGGUGUAAGCCACCGUAAACCCCUUUCUUUCUCCUCACCUUGUUCUUGGUCACUAUGUUUCAUCGCAGCAACAGUAACCCUAACUAAGACAAGUGUUCAUAGUAUUCUAGAACAGUCUGAUUGCAGCAAAUAUUUGGUAUUUGGAUUGUGGUGGGAAGUUGGGUUUUGAAAAAUGUCUAUUUUUUUUUCCCAGCUUGUCUCAGGUUAGAGUACCUGGGUGGAGGAAACUCAAUUGCAAAGCUACCUCUAUCAGAUUGCCUGUAGGUGAGUCUGCAGGGCAUUUUCUUGAUGAAUGAUUGAGGGAAGGCCCAGCUCACUGUGGAUUGUGCCAGCCCUGGGCAGGUGGUCCUGAGCUGUGUAAAGAAGCAGGCUGAGAAAGAAUAGGGAGACAAGCCAGUAAAGCAGAGUUCUCCCUGAGGUGGUUACUUCAGUUCCAGCCUUGGCUCUCCUCAAUGGACUGUAACCUGGGAGAUGUAAGACAAAUAGACCCUUUUCUCCUCAAGCUGCUUUUGAUCAUGGUGUUUUAUCACAGUCAUAGAAACCCCAGGAAAGCAAAAUCCCAUACGGCUUCAGUCUCACAAUUAAGACCUAACAAAAUUCCCAUUCACCAACUUCCCUGAGCACCGGCUGUGUGACGGGCUCUGCACUCUUCAGCCUCAAGGGAUGCCGAGUCUGAGAGCAAGACAUUUUUAGUGAUAAGGAACUAACCCAUGUUCAGAUCUAGAGACACACCCAGAGCCUAAGCAAAGAGAGUUCCGGACCAUAAACUGUAUCACUCCACGAGCUGCAGCUACACUUGCCUGUAAGCCUCUUACAACUGAUGCUGGAGUCAGCAGUGCACCUACUAAUUCAGGAACUGCAACUCUCUCCCUGAGCUUCCUUUGUUUCCGGGUUCCUGCUCCCUGCAAUCAAGGUGGCCGUUUAUCUCCUCAAAUACCAAAGCCGUCCUCCACGGCUGAGAUGUGAAACUUUUGAGGCCAACAACUUGAUCCUGCAUGUUCAGCAAGUGUCUGUCAAGCACCUUCAGAAGUGAGGACAAUGGAGGACCUUGAAAAGGCCACACUCUGGUUCUGUCUCCAUCAUCAGUAGCUUGUCCUUGGCUCUGCUCCAUGCAUGACAGUCGCUUUGCACCUCCCAAUAAUACCUGCUCUAUUUGUUGUAUUUGUCCAUGCCAUUUUAUUUUAAGUUUCUAGAAGGAUACAAUGACCUAUUUAUUGGCUGUCAGCAUCUUUAUUGACCAAUCAGAAAUAAUCAGAAAUAGUGGGGGGGGGGCAAGAUCACAUAGUGUUACUUGUGUCUAUGUGUGGACUCUCUUGUUUCUGGGGCAAUCAGUUCUUUAGGAACCAGUAUGGGCAAUAGAAUACAAGCAGCAUCAGGCCUAGCCAGCAGUAAUUAUUGGGCUAGCUGAACCACAUCCUGUAAGUUAUCCUAAUAAAUCCUCCUUCUAUGUGUAU
rnacentral:lncRNA from 1 species